AGAGUUUGAUCCUGGCUCAGGAUGAACGCUGGCGGCGUGCUUAACACAUGCAAGUCGAACGAAGCACUUUAUUUGAUUUCCUUCGGGACUGAUUAUUUUGUGACUGAGUGGCGGACGGGUGAGUAACGCGUGGGUAACCUGCCUUGUACAGGGGGAUAACAGUUGGAAACGGCUGCUAAUACCGCAUAAGCGCACGGCAUCGCAUGAUGCAGUGUGAAAAACUCCGGUGGUAUAAGAUGGACCCGCGUUGGAUUAGCUAGUUGGUGAGGUAUCGGCCCACCAAGGCGACGAUCCAUAGCCGGCCUGAGAGGGUGAACGGCCACAUUGGGACUGAGACACGGCCCAGACUUCUACGGGAGGCAGCAGUGGGGAAUAUUGCACAAUGGGGGAAACCCUGAUGCAGCGACGCCGCGUGAAGGAAGAAGUAUCUCGGUAUGUAAACUUCUAUCAGCAGGGAAGAAAAUGACGGUACCUGACUAAGAAGCCCCGGCUAACUACGUGCCAGCAGCCGCGGUAAUACGUAGGGGGCAAGCGUUAUCCGGAUUUACUGGGUGUAAAGGGAGCGUAGACGGAUGGACAAGUCUGAUGUGAAAGACUGGGGCUCAACCCCGGGACUGCAUUGGAAACUGCCCGUCUUGAGUGCCGGAGAGGUAAGCGGAAUUCCUAGUGUAGCGGUGAAAUGCGUAGAUAUUAGGAGGAACACCAGUGGCGAAGGCGGCUUACUGGACGGUAACUGACGUUGAGGCUCGAAAGCGUGGGGAGCAAACAGGAUUAGAUACCCUGGUAGUCCACGCGGUAAACGAUGAAUGCUAGGUGUCGGGGAGCAAAGCUCUUCG
rnacentral:rRNA from 1 species